AUUGUUUUCUUCUCUAUAUGCUUGUAUUUUCCAGUUUUCUACAAUGAGCUUGUGUUACUUAAUUAACCAGAAGGAAUCCAGAUUUUUUUUUAAAGGAAGUAAAGAUAAAAUAAUAAACUUUAAUUUUCUUGUGAAUCUUUAAAGUAUACUUGACUGUUUUCCUGCAAAAUCAGUACCUCUGCUUUAUGAUUGAAAUUGAUUGUUAAAUGUUGACAAGACCAAAAUAUUACCUGAUAAGACCAAGUAAUAUUAAUUAUUUGGAGAUUCAUUUAACAAUAUUAAGGGAGAAUCGAGGCUUUCAGUGCUGGAAGACAGUGAUGUAAAAUAAGUACAUUAAUGAUUUCUUUUAAAUUCCUAACACAGGAGUAGAAAUUUGUGUCUUUAGAGAUUUCUGUAUUUAAGUUUGAUCUAGAGGUAUUAUGUGUUCUUUACACAUCAUUUUAAUCAACAUUGUUGCCCCAAACCGACUUUGAGGGCCUCUAGGGCCUGAAGCCCUGGUGAUGGUAUGGUUAAGAGCUUUGUGGCUAACCAAAAGGUCAGUGGUUCGAAUCCACCAGCUGUUUCUUGGAAACCCUAUGGGGCAGUUGUGCUUUGGCCUGUAGGGUUCCUAUGAAUCAGAAACCACUCGAUGGCAAUGGGUUUUUCUUUUUUUUAAGGGUCUGGGCGCUCAUGUGCUAGGCGGGCACUAGGGGGUUUACCACGGUCCUUGUCAUUAUGCUGGGUGCUGGCCAAGUACUGUCCAUAGAUUGAGAGGCACCAUAGUGAGGUGCUCAACAGCGUGGACUCUGAGGCCAGACUGCCUGGAUUAAAUCCUGACUUUGCCACUUACUAGCUGUGUGACCUUAGGCAAGUAACAGUUACUUAACUCUCUGGCUCUGUUUAUCUGUGAAAUAAUUAUCGUCCCUACUUCGCAAAAUUAUUAUCAAGGUUAAGUUAGCCAAUAUUUAUAAAGUGUUUAGAAGAGUGUUUUCUAAUUAGUCAAACACUUCAGAAAAAAAAUCUCAUUUAAUCCUCAGAAUAACCUAGAGAGAUAGAUGACAGCAUUCCCAUUGUACAGACAGUUUUGAAAAAUGAAGCUGAGAUUUCCUAACGUACUUAAGGUUAUACAGCCAGUAAUUCAAACCCCAGAUUUAAAUUCUGAGCUGUUCUACUUAUUGUGUAUGUUGGUAUUAUAAAUGCCUAUUAUGUAUAUAGAUGGAAGCCCUGGUGGCGUAGUGGUUAAGCGCUAUGGCUGCUAACCACAAAGGUCGGCAGUUCAAAUCCACCAAGCGCUCCUUGGAAACUCUGUAGGGCAGUUCUCCUCUGUCCUACGGGGUCUCUAUGAGUCAGAAUCGGCUCGAUGGCAACAUGUUUGGUUUUGUUUUUAUCACGUACACACACACACAUGCGCGCGCGCGUGCGCGUGCGAGCCCUGGCAGUGCUUUAGAGCUCAGGCUGCUAACCAAAAGGUUUGCUGUUCGAAUCCACCAACCACCAACCGCUCCUUGGAAACCUUAAGGGGCAGUUCUGCUCUGUCCUAAACGGUUGCUAUGAGCUGGAAUUGACUCUAUGACAGUCGGUUUAGUUGUUUUUUUUUUUUGGUUUUAUCCUGCACUUGGACAUGUCCCCAUGGCAAAUAAUUUUCCUAUUCUAGUUUUUGCAUCAUGUCAAGAGUGAGUGAUACUUAUGCUUUAUAAAACUUCACAUAAUUAUAGUCACGUAUAUGUGGAAAACAAUCAGAUAAUGAAUCUAAUGUAUAAAAGGCUGCAUGUGGGACUGUCUUACCUGUUUCUCAGAUGUUAAAAAGUGAAAAUUUGUCUAAAAUUUAUGAUACUUAAAGCCAACUAACUAGAAAAGCCAGUUAAAUAAAAUACAGAGUUUGGAAUAAAGUCGGCUGUAUGUGAGUGUAACACACACUUGUUAAGGUGAAAUAACAUCAUUGAGAAAAGAAUCAUACUGUCCUGGGAAAAUCGUGUGUUAAUAGGGGAAAAACCUGAAAGUGAUAAUGCAAAUAUGUGCACUAAAGUCAAGUAUGGAGUGAAAUGUCCUCAAUUAAAACAUAUACAGAGGAAUACAUUUACUUUGACUGUGCUUUAAGAAGCUUAAAAAAAAAAAAACUAUUAAAACAGUAACAGUUUAACUGUAUUUUGGUGGUUUUAUUAAAUUUUUAAAAAAAUUACUUGAAAAUCAGCAAUUCUAAAAAUAUCUAAUAAUAUCGAGAAAUUACUGAAAAUGAGCACAUUUAUUAAACCUUCUCUGAACAAAUGGUUAAUGGACAAAAACAGCUAAUAUUCAUGAAACAAAGGUUUCUACAGUAUUCAUUUACCUGUCCUAAAACAACACCUAGAAGUAUAUUUUAGAUAUAAUUAUUUAUGAAAUAUGAAUAAUAAUGAAAAUAUGAAUUCAUUUAUGAACAUGUAUUUUUGUAUAGCUGGCGAAAAUUGGGUUUUUCCCAGUUUUUAGUUAAUUAUAAAUGAUCCAGCUAGAAACAUCUUUGAAGAAUUGUUUUUUCCUCAAUAUCAUUUCUUAAAAGUGUAGUUCAGUCAAAUAUAUGAGACCAAAUGGGCAACUCCUGCCCAAAAGCAAGAUGAGAAGGCAGAAAGAGACAGGAAAACUGGAUGAGUGGAAGUGGGGGACCCAGAGUACAAAGGGAGAGAGUGCUGUCACAUUGUGGGCAUUGCAGCCGAUGUCAGAAAACAAUAUAAAAUUUUGAAUGAGAAACUAACUUGAGCUGUAAACUUUCACCUAAAACCAAACCCACUGCCUUCGAGUUGAUUCCAACUCAUAGUGACCCCACAGGAUUUCCAAGGCUGUAAGUCUCUGUGGAAGCAGACUGCCACAUCUUUUUCCCAGAGCUGCUGUGGUUUUGAAUUGCCGACCUUUCAGUGAGCAGUUGAUUGCUUUAACCACUGAGCCACUAAGCCUCCUUAAACUUCCACCUAAAGCACACACACAUACUGACACACAAAAAUGGUAUUACCAGGCGAACAAAUAACAUCCAUCUUUUUAGCUCUCAUUAGUGACCCUCUGACAGAGUGGAACUGCCCUUUAGGUCUUCCUAGGCUUGAUAUUUAUGGGAGCAGAUCGCCCGGCCUUUCUCUUGUGGAGCCACUGGGUGGAUUCGAUCUGCUGACCUUUUGGUUAGCAUCUGAGCACUUAACCGUUGCACUGCCGGAUUUUCUGGCAGCAGUUUAUUUGUGGAAUGAAAGUAUGGGACUAAAUGAUCUCCACAUUUUUUUUUUUUUUUCUUUUCUGGCAUUCUGAUCUUAUGAAGUCUGUGAAUCAAGGAUUGCAAGAGGUGAUAGAUUCUUGUAAUUAUUUUUGUACCCAAGAAGUUUCUUUUCCCUGUUUGCAGGUAUUUGACUGGUAACUAAUAUGCUAAGCACAGCGCCCAGACUGUUGAGUAGGUUCUCAGGGAGUCUCCGAUGGAGGCUAGCUGGGUGGAUGAAAUACUGCCUGCUUUUUCUGUGCUAGUUUUUAUUUCUUUUGUACCAAACCAGAAAACCAAACCCACUGCCAUUGAGUCGAUUCUGACUCAUAGCGACCCUAUAGGACAGAGCAGAACUGCCCCAUAGUUUCCAAGGAGUGCCUGGUGGAUUUGAACUGCCGACCUCUUGGUUAGCAGCUGUAGCACUUAACCACUACGCCACCAGAGUUUCCAUUUCUUUUGUAAAGCUGGUUAAAUAAGAACAAAUGAUAUCCCUGAAGCAUUUAUUUUCCAAUAAGUCUCUUGUUCUUAUAAAACGGUAUAAAUUAAAUAAUAGCUUAACAUUUAUUGAACACAUACUGUGUACUACUUUUCUAAGCGUAAGAUGAAGUUAUUUCACCCUGAUAACAAUCCUGUUAGGUAAUCAUUGUCCUCAGUUUAUUGGAUGCAGAGGUACAGAGAGGUUAAGGAACUUGCCCAAAGUUAGCCAGGCUGUAAGUGGUAGGGCUAAGUUUGGCUGGGCGAUGUGGCUCUGGAGCUGCACUCUCAUCUUUCUCUCAGCCACAGUUCUCAUACCUCCCUCAGUGUCCUGAACUUGGGCGGGUCUGAUAGGCACCUGUUGAGACUGGGUGGCUUGGGCAGGAAUGUGGGUCAGGCAGGGUUUUGUCACUAGGCCAGGCAGUCCAUGUGCUGGUUGAAGAUGGGAAACCCCCGCAAGCCGAUUGGAAAAGCGGGCAGGACUGAAGAGUCAAGUUAGGCUGGGCAGCAUCUGUGUUAGGGAGAACUCUAGGACUGUCCUAAGACAGAGGGUGAAUUUGGUCAAUAAGUCAUAGUUCCACAUAUCACUUUUAAUAGGGCUACUCAGGGUUCAUUUGGGAUUAUCUACCGCUAAGUUAAGGAGCCCUGGUUGCUCAGUGGUUAGGCGCUUGGCUGCUAACUGAAAGUUUGACUGUUUGAACCCACCCAAUAGCUCCUUGGGAGAAAGACCUGGUGAUCUGCUUCCAUAAAGAUUGCAGCCUAGAAAACGCUUUGAGGCAGUUACUCUGUCACGUGGGGUCACUAUGAGUUGAAAGUGGCUUGAGGGCACCUAAUAGCAAUCAUAAGUUUCUGGAGGUUCAUCCUAGGUUUACAGGCAUAUGGCUUCUGGGCUUGUUAUGGAGAGAGGAUGUCGAAAUCAAAUGAGAUAAAGCCUCUGUAUUCCUUGAGCCUUGAGUUUUUCUCAGUUGCUUUUGGGAGGCAGCACCCUGAUCGUUCUUACCAACUGGGUCACCACAAUAGUGCCGUGUUCUCUUGAGCACCUAGGCUCUUGUAUCCAGUUCAUCCCCCGGGUCUCAACCAGAGUUCUCAAGCUGUGAGCCAUCAAACUGGGGCCUCCCCUCGUUAGACUUUGUCUUGGAAAUAUCCAUUUUUUAACGUGAAUGUGGCGAGUAUGUAAAGGGGUAUACCACUGCCAGUGUGUGGUUGUUCAUGACAAGAGUAGACAAGGAUUAUUGCAGGUUAGGAUCCUGCACUUCUGGGGAGAGUUAAUAGAGCACGUACAGACUGAGAGUCCUUAAAAUGUGAAAUUAAUAGUUCAAAUCCAAAACACUGACGUUCUGAAAAGCACAUGUGAGAAGUCACUUCAAGCUAGUAGACAGAAAUCUGUUUUCAUAUUCUGAGAAUAGCUGUUGCCAACCCUAGGACAAUAAACAGAGGCAGCAGGGGUCAGAAAACAAAUUUAUAGGCCAGCAAUUCUACUGGCCUGCUUACCGCAAACACUGUCAAUAUUUUGCCAUCCGCACUUGGGUGUCUGCCAGGUGGUAUUCUUUAGUUGAUCAUUUUGGAAAUCCUAAACAAUGUAUCUGGAGUGUUUGUGUUUGAGAAGUGCUUAUCAGCCAAACACAGUCUUAUAAAACAGAUUAUUAAAAAAAAAAUUUUUUUUUUAAAACUUGUAUUUCUGUUCUAAGAACACUUACUAAGAAAAUGGUUUCCUGUUCAAACAAGGUUUGCUGCUUUAGAGAGAGAGUCUUCUGGCUUUGUGUGGUUGUCAGUGUGCGUUGUUGUGCCUUUAGUAUUGUUAGCUGUUACUGUUGACACGUCUGAGGCUGCUUUCAGCAGGCAAGGGGAGCUUCCCGGUGCUAGAUUAACAAAGCGCCCUACUACCCUGAACUUGAAGUCAAAUAAAGAGGGCAGGGUGCUAAUUGUUGGGGCAAUUUGGUGCUAAUUGUUGGGGCAAUUUCUUUAUUUCAUCUUCACUCAAAUCUCCAGGCAAAAAUUGACUUUUGUCUGAGGGCUCGUACCAUAACUAUUGUGUCAGUAAUUGUGGCACCUCCAAGUGGCCUCAGUGAAUUAGACUGGUCUUAAGUUAAAUACUUUCAAAUAUUAUCUAACACCUCAGAUAAUCUAAUGUAAUUUAACAGGUGAAAUAAAUUCCCAUGAAUGAUCCCUUUGCUGGCAUUUAUUGAGUCUUGCUGUGUCCUGAGCAUUUGCCAAAAGCUUAUAGCAUUUACUCACUUAAUCCCCUAUUUUAAUCCUGUGAGGUAAGAACCGUUAUCUUCAUUUUAUAGAUGAGAAGACCAAAGUGUCCAUAGUGUCUUUAAUAGUGAGUGGUGUAGAUAGCCAUGCCGUGAAUCCAAGUUGUUCUGACUCUGAAAUCUGUCAUUUAACCCUUACUUUGUUAUUUCAGCAAAGAAAUGUUGGAGUGGCACUUUUUGAGAAGUAAUUAUUUUCUGCUUUUUCUUUUUGCUUGUUGAGUUCCUCACAGAUCAUGUUCACAUGGUGAGUAAUUAAUGGAAGAGAGAAAGCAUCCGCUUACUGAUUCAGUCAGCAUUUAUUGAGACCUAACGUCACCGUUUUCUUCCUUUCCUCCUCUGCUCUGAUUGGGCAUCUUCAGACUGUUGUGCAAAAGAUAAUUUGUUAAAAUGCAAGAAAAAGAAAAAAAUUAGAACUUCUAUGCCUCUUUUUUAUCUUCAUUUAAAAGUUUCUACUUUGUGUAUGUUUAUAAGCUACAUCAUACGUUAGUCAAGCACCACACUUCAUUGGUCUAAGAUGUAUGCCCCCCAGAAACAUUUUAACAUGUCCGAUUAUGAUGUUUCUUACAUAAGAAUUAUAAUUAGCAAUGUUUUUUCCUUUCUUAGUGUUUUAUGAAAUGACAGUAUUCUGCAAUUGAUGAUUGCUUAGAUUCAAUGAAAUACAGAGGCACACGUGGAAAAUUAGAAAAAUAAGCAAAUAUAUGCAUAUUCAGAAUGCGUGCUUAUUUUUUAAGUGAUAGGAGGGUGUAAUCAAAAUGAUUUUUGAGAAUUUUAUUUUCCCUGCUUAGAAUUCCUUGAUCUCCCAACAUCUCUGUCGCCAGGUAUCCUCAGGCUGAUGAGUCCUGUCGGGCAUCCUUUCCCAAGGCAUGCCACUGUGGAUCCUGUGAGGGUUGUUGAGGCAGGUGAGCCCGCACCUGGUGGCCCCCAGAGGCGUCAGAGAGAGAGUUGUGCUGCUUUAGCACUCAUUUUGAUGUUGUCCAGAUUUCAAGUGGCCUUGAACCAUUUAACAUGUUGUGGCUCUGGGAACAAAAUUGUCCUCUGUCCUACUGAUGUUAAUAUAUCUGGCUCAGUGAAAGUCUGUUUUGGAGGAGCUCUAGUGGCACAGUGGUUAAGUGCUCAGCUGCUAACCAAAAGGUCGGCAGUUCAAACCCACCAGCUGCUCCACAGGAGAAAGAUGUGGCAGCCUGCUCCCGUGAAGAUUACAGCCUUGGAAACCCUAUGAGGCAGUUCUGCUCUGUCCUCUAGGGUCACUAUGAGUUGAAAUCGACUUGACAGCAACCGGUUAAUGUUUAUAACUCUCUGAAGUAGGCAUUAUUAUCUCUGUUUUAUGGCAUUGAAAAUGAAGAUACAGAGAGGUUAAUUAAUUAAGGUAGCUAAUAAUUGAUAAGAUUUGAACUACGGUCUGCUUAAUUGCAUAGCUCUCUGACUUUGCCAUUGUUAGUGCCGAGUAGUUGAGAAUUGCUUGUAUAAUUUUAUGUUACAGUGGAUGUGUUAUUUGUAAUGACAGUUUUUAAAUAAACAAAAAAUGCACUUGGAUAAAAAUGUUUGUGUGGACAAUUCUAAAAAAAAAAAUCAGGACCAACAGUUAAUGAUAGCUUGUUCAAUCUUUAGUUUUGGAAAUAAGUGAGUCUCGUGACCUGAAGAAAAAGUCAAAUGUUCCCCUCCAAAUUGCUUUAAAAUUAGUAAUACAGAAUUUUCUAAAUUAAAGAUUAUUAUUCUUUUCUAAAUUAAUCUAAAUUACUAUCACAUUAGUUUCCUGAGACCUCAUAUGGAAGUCUUCAGGUUAGUGUCCAGUCUGCUUACAGAUAAGAGCUAAGACUCAGAGAUGGAGGGGGAAGGAGGCAGGGAAUGAGAGAACACAAGGAGCCACAAAUGCUCAUGGACCUCUGUCUUUAGCUUCUAAUUCCUCUUUUUAAGACACCAUGGUUUCCUGUCCUAACUAUUUAAUUUUAAUAAUUAUACAGACUUAUCAGUACAGUAAUUGUACAGACUUAUCUCCAAAAUUUAUGUGAGGGAAAAUUAUAUAUUUGAGUGUUGGAAGUUCAACAUCGCUUCUGUUGAAAAUAAAUUGGAUCAAGGCAUAAUAUUUUCUUUGUGUCCUUGUUCACUUCAAAAAGUGGUAAAGCAGAUUGGCUGAGAAGGAUGCUUGCCUCAAAUGGAAUGGCAGAUUUUGGCAUUCUGAUUUCUAGUCUAACGCAGCUCGUUUAGGACUUGUUAGAUAGGAAAUAGUUAUCACUUUUCAAUUUAAGUUUGUUAGCAGAUUCCUUUUCUUGGUCGGGAAGAAAUAUUUCAUUUCUUUUGAUUGGCUGUCCUUGAAUCCUGUUAGUAGUUUAAAAGAUUUAAAGCUUGUUCUGUUGAACAUCUUGUCAGAGAUAAUAAGUAAGGAAAGUCUAUGGACUUUUUUUGUUUGAAUCCUUGAUUAAAGUUAAAUGAUGAAGAUAUCUUAGUGUGCAUAAGACAGUGGAUCCUAAAACAUUAAAUGUAAUACAUGUUUUUAUGAACUAAAUCCAUUUUUAAAUGUAAUAGGUAGCUCAGUGAUUUAAAAUAAGCCUGUAAAAUUUCUUUUUAUAACUAUCAGAAUUUUGGGAAAAAAAAAUCUCCUUCCUAAAUUUUGGCAUUUUGAAUAUCAAGCUUUUGAAAAUCAGGGCACAGUUUUGCCCCCUGAGAGUUAAUUUAAAUAGUUGAAGGAAGUUAUCAUAUUUUUGCCAGCUAGAUGUUAUACAGGUAUUGAGAUUGACUUUAGAGCUGUCUGUCUCCAUGUGUUAAACCAAAACCGGUUCUAACUCGUAGCUACCCUGUGUGAUAGAGUAGAGCUGCUCCGGAGGGCUUCUAAGGCUGUCAUCUUUAUGGAAGCAGAGCACCAGGCCUUUCUCCAUGGAGCAGCUGCUGGGUUCGAAUCUCUGACCUUUCAGUUAGCUUCGCAGCUGAGCACUUAACCGCUGUGCCACAGGGCUCCUUUCCACAUCUAAAGUAAGCCUCUAUUAAAGGCCAUUCAUCUGCGUUUGGAAUAGACUAGGCUUACCCAGUAGAAGAGCAGUCAGCAAUAUCUCAUAAACAUUAAAAUGCUGCAUCUUCAUUUGUUAGACCGUUGCUGGGAACGUUCUCCUUGGAAUCCAGGUGCUGAUGACAGGGCCUUCUGACAUCAGUCAGUCAGGAUGCUGCUGGACUCUGGAUGUCCUGUAGAUGAUGAACCAUGAGUGAUGCAGCUAAUUUAGCCCUGAGCAAACUAAGGGAUGUGUUUGAUAGAGGUGUGGAGUUGGGGGUGCCAGAGAGUUGUGUCUCCUCUCAGGUUUACAUCUAUCUGCAUUUGUCAUCCUUUAAGAGUAGAUUGUACCUUUCAUGUGGAAUAUGCCUCUGCCGUUUCUGGACGAUUAUUAAGUGUAAUCUCUUUGGGGCUCUUGUCUACCUCAUAGGGCUUUAUCUUAUGGACUGUGUGUUUGAACAACUUGGAAUAACCUACCAGGAUCAUUCCUUCAGAUGUUAGCCAGCUUCAGUGACUCCCCUAAGUUUCUUCAGGGAUUUCUGCUGCUGGUCACUUUUGCUUCUGGGUUAGCUCUGUUUCACACAGCUAUAUAUUUAAUUCCAGGAAGGGUAAAGAGACAGUUUUUAUUCCUUCAGCAGAGUGAUUUUGGCUCUUUUACUAUUGAUGUCAAUUGUGGAGGAAAUACAAUAGCCAAGUAUAUAUAAUAUAAAUAACUGCAGUAUAUUUCAGGUUUUAGUAAAUCUGCCAAGUCCGAAAGACAAAGAGGCCUGUUAAGUUUUAAGGAAUGAAAUAAAAAUAAAAAAAACAAAGCUAAAUUCGUCUUUUAUCUUUAGUAAUUCAUUUCUCUAGGAUCAUUAGGAGUGAUUUGAAUUAGUACACAAGAUAUUAAUUUCUAUCCUGUAAUUGCAUAAUCAUUUAAGAUUAGGUAAAGUAAUUUCUGAAAGAAUUUUGGAGAAUCUUAUCUGAUGUUGAUUCUCAUUGCCACUUGGAGAGUUCAGAAGAAGACGAGUGUGGUUAGGUUGUGAGUUUAUCACCACCAUCAAUGGUUGGGACUGUUGUAUUUUUUCAUACUUAACAGUGUGGUACUACGUACGUAGAGAGCCAUUAUGAAUAAAGAAAUUUUAUUCAUAAAUCAGUCAGGAAAUGCACACAUGAAGGAUUUAUGUAGUCUCUGUGGGACACUACAGCCAGACUGCAGUUGUCUUUUUGUGAGAGUUCUCCGAGCUCUUCCAGCCAUGCUUUUUUGACCCUAGAAACCCUGUUGCCAUCGAGAUGAUUCUAACUCAUAGUGACCCUGUAGGACAGAGCAGAACUGCCCCAAGGCUGUGAUCUUUAUGGAAGCAGACUGCCACAUCUUUUUCCCGUGGAGUGGCUGGUGGGUUCAACCUGCCAACAUUCUGGUUAUAGCCCAGUGCUUACCUUAGUAAAAAAAAAAAAAAAGAGUUAUUAAGCACUCAAUAAAUAGCCUGUUGCUGUCGAGUCUAUUCCAACUUAUAGCUACUCAGUAGGACAGAGUAGAAUUGGAAACCACAGGGUUUCCAAGGAGCACCUGGUGGAUUCGAACUGCCGACUCUUGGGUUAGCAACCAAGCUCUUAACCACUACACCACCUGGGCUCCACUCAAUAAAUACUGGGUGCUAUUACUAGUUCAUUCCCUGGCUUUCCAAGCUUCCAGUCUUACAUACCAGAACCUGAUAAUGCCUAAGGCCCAAUGUUGGUGCUAACUCCUCCUCUAAGCUUCUUGAUUUCUCACAGCCAUAACAGUCUCUCUUCCUAAAUUUUAUAGAACCUUAUGCUUUUUCUCUGGUAUUUAUCUGUACCUUCUAUUAUAUUUAUCUAUGGCUGUAUCUUAUAUUUUCUCCUAGAGUAAGUUCCUUGAGGGUAGGGGUUAUGUUUUAUUCAUUUUUUUAACUCUUGUCAUCUUUCCAAGAAUUUAGAAGGCACCCAAUAAAAAAGAAUUCUUUUUAGUAAGACAUUCUCUUUAAUUAGUACUGUAGCUUUUAUGAUUUCUUACAUAGUACGUGACACAUGAAGAAAAUGUUUUCCAUAAAUCUUUGAGAAAGAUAUUUACAUAACAAACAGAAUAAUAGAUUGUAUGUUUUAUUUCCUAGAAAAUGUCUCAGGCUUGUGUUCAAAGCUUUUUCAAGAUAUUAAUGAUGAGGCUGGCCUUAUAUUAAUUAUGACAUUGCCUAUCACUUUAUUGAAAUGCAUUUGCCGUCCUCAUUUAAUCAAAAUACAUUAAUCUCUCAAUUAUUCAUGUAUGGAUUACUCUUGUUGUAAUUCUUCCUUGUUAAUUUUUCAUACCUGCUUAGCCACUCCCCCCCCCAGCACCCUGUUCCAUUGCCUCCAUUUCCCAGUCUUGGAGACAUAGAAAGGAAGUUGUAAUAUUAGCUUAAGCAGAACAAGAUUGGAAUGGUAAGUUUCUCAAAACUGUAAUGCAAGCCAGAGUCCAACACAGGAUUAGUGAUUUUUAUUUUUAACUGCUUGGCAUUUAUGAGUGAAUGAUGAUUUCCAGCUUUUUUCCACAAAGAUCGCAACUGAUUUAACAUUCUUUUAGAAUGACACCAAGACAUUUUUAUCAAUGGAUUAUGAAGAAUUAAUUCCUACUGCAGAGCUCCAUAAAAUCUUGGGGUAAUUUUCCCAUUAGUUAAUGCAGUUAGGUUCUAUCUCCUGCAGAACCAAACAGAAGCCUUUAGGCACCCAAAAUUGAGUGUUUGACCCACCAAAAGACCCACUUUCAGUAAUACUGGCCCUGCCGAGGUUCCAUCUCAUCCUCUGUAUUUCCUAAUGACCUUCAUCAUCCUCUCAACCUGACUUCUUUGUUCCUCUGGCCUGUGUAUCAGGUCAUCUCAUUGAGUUUAACAACAGUCAAGUCCGUCCUGGCUUUGAAUUCUAAUCCUUGCCUUCCACUGACUCCUUUGCAUCCUGCAUGUCCUUUAACCCCAAUAAACUGUCUUCUCUGUUUCUCAGCUUUAUGGAGUAUACUUUGGAAGAUUAGUUAAGCACAUAAUAAGCAUUAGAUUUCAAAACCAGAAAACUGGUUGGCUACCACUGCUGCUGUUAAAUUGAGGAACAAGCUGGAAUUAGAUUGUGGCUUUUGGACAUGUGAUCCCUUAACCGUAUUUCUAGCAUUUAAAGAGAUGUGUAUGUUGUGUUUCUCCUUCACAUCUGUCCGCUUGGCUUCUCAGUGCUAUCUCCUUUGAUAUAUGUGGUUGCCAUUUAUCAUUACUCUUUGUUUUGAUCCUCUAGCCAACUGUUACUCCUCAAUGACAGAGCUAAUAUCUAGGCUAAUUAGGAUUAAUUUUUCAAUUAGACGGUUUUAAAAGAGGCUGCACAGACUAUUUACUUCCCUUAUGGGGAAAGUCAAACUGCAUUUCUAGUUUAAAAAAAAAAAAAAAUUUCACCUCAAUAGUAGUUAAUCGAAUUGUUAUUUUAUCUUGACAAAGUAUGCUUCUGUUUCCUUAGGUUAAAAUGUCAUAUAAUAUUCUUUUAUUUUUUAAUUCUGUGGUGUAGAAGACUCUACAGACAACCCAUUGCCUUAAGAUUUGACUGUGUGAACCAUAUUAGGCUUCCUAAUUUAGACAAUUUUAUGUGUGUACAGUUUUGUACAAUUUGUUUUUAAAGUAUAUGGUUAAAUACUUGAAACAGCAUUUUUAUUAAGUUUGAAGAAUGUACAUUUUUUUCAACUGUAAACUUAAAUAAGUGAAUCUUGAUGUCUGUAAAUGGAGCUUGGGUAACCACUUAAUAAAAAAAAGAAUUAUCGUCUUCUUUAAAGUAGAGUGUGCUUUUAAUUCAGGGGGAAAAGUCCUUAGCUAAUUUUACUGCUUUUGUAUUAGUCAGGCUUGGCUUCCUGCCACUCGUUAUUUGAACGUCUCAGUGGUGUUCAUUCUUAAUUUCCCAUUCCGUUGAUAACAUUUAGUUUGUAGGGAGUUUAGUAUUAAUGGUCGUUGCCUGUUUCAUGUGUACACAGAGAAAUUUUAUAGCAUGCAGGCUUGCAUAAUAAGUUUUGGUGAGGUUGUCUUUUCAACUUUCAGAUUUUGGUGUGUCUUUCAGCUCUUUUCUAAAUGCAUGUAUAUUGCGCCGGCCUGUGUGGUACCAUCAUAGGAGAGGUGUGCUGUAUCUUGGGUCAUGAAGGAGUUAAUUCAACUCUCAGAGUCAAAAUUUUAACUUUCAUGGAGUCAUACCCUUGAAGAAUCUAGUUACCAACUAUGGUUUGGGGUUUUAACCGAACAUUUAAAAAGACCAGUGUAAUGAAAAACAUUCUUGUUAUUUUUUCAAAGAACUUUCACUUUUUUUAACUGCAUUCAAAGAAAUGGAUUUUACAUUGCAACCUAGUACAUGCAUUUAACACAUGCAUACGUAUGUGCGCGCACACACACACGCACAAAACAAGUAUCCUGAAAUUCUAUUUGUUUUCUGUUCUAUUUCAUUAAAUAAUAUUGAUUGAAACUCACUAAUUGAAACUGAAUUUAUGACCACUGCUAUUUGAAAACCUUUGUCUUAGAAUAUUCAGUCUCCAGGUAUUUUCAUAAUCGAUGUUUAUUUCGGUUUGUUCGGUUAUAGUGGUAAAUGAGGUUAAGCUUUCAGUUAGCUAAUCUUCCUGUAUUUGUUUGAAAUUUUACUGUAUUUUGAGUAAAACAAAAUGUUCCUGCAUGUUAUAUUUUUAGGCCCAAUACCAGUAAUGUUAGAACUGCCUGGUUUAGAUAUUCGUAAGUCUUUUACAAAAGCAUUUCUUUAGAAAUGUAAAUUAGAGGUUUUGCCACUGACUAUGGGGGAAAAAAAAAAUCCGUCCAUACUUCAUUUAUUUACCUUUUCCUAACUCUCCAAAUGAUUCAUAUAUCACUGUUUCUUUUAUUGUGCCAAAAUUUUAAGUGCUUUUUCUAGAAAAUAACUGGCUACCAAAGGUACAAGAAUCGUAGUUAUCAUAAACAUUAUGUGAUAUAUUCAAGAUUUAUGCCUUUUUUUGCUAAUAAAAACAGUCAUAAAAAUUAUUGUAUUUAAAUUCUUUUAAUUAUGAGGCCACGGAAAAUGUAUUCAUUCAUUCAUAUUGGUUUAUGAGCAGUUAUCUCCUCCACUUAUCCUUCAACAAGAAUGACUUCAAAGCUGAGCCCCUUCCGAAAGAGGCAGUAGCUAGUGCCUAAAAAUAAAGGUGGCUUCAGUUGUGUCUUUGUUUUAGUCUAGAAUAGAAUUACUUAAAAUAGUAACUUUCUACACAUGAGAACAUGUUAGUAAUGUAACCUGUUCCUGUCAGCAUGUAUCUGAUAAAACGUGCUGAUCUCUGUAUGAAAAUCAGAGGCUUUUGUUUGAUAUCAAGGCAUAAAACAAGCGGGUCAUUUUCCUUCUGCUGAAGCGCAAGUGUCUCAUUGUGCACACUUCCUUGGCAGCCAGUAAUUAUGCAGGCUCUGAUACGGGGACACUAGCUGUUUCCUUGGGGACAAGGUGUAAGCAGAGACAACGCAAGAGUACUAGAAUAUCAUUGUCUCUCCUCAGUUUUAAAAUACUAUUAAAAACAGUAAUUUUAAAAACAGAAAUCUGUGACAGUAGAGGUUGUAUGUAACUUCCCGUGCUGCUUCACACCCCAAUUACAAGGCAGACAAAAGACUGUAAGUGAAAUGUGGAUAACUUAACCCAUUGGUCUGCCUUUACCCUUACCCAGAUAUGAAGGAAACAAAACAAACUUCAUUCUGAUCUGUAGAUUAAUUUCUUAAGCUUUACCAACUGGAGUACUUACCCAUAUGGUAUUACAGGUUAGCCUGUAUGUGUGCAGAAUGUGUUUAAAUGUAUUUUCCUUUCCAUUUUCACUGUCAUGUUUUAAUCUAAGUUUUUACCACUUCACUCUGAGAUGUUGCACUAGCCUUCUAGUAUUUUCACUCUUCACUCGUUCUCCUUAUACUUCAUUGCACUAUCUCCCGUUACCACCCACCCCACCCUGGCCUCUCCCAGGCACAGUCACGUAUAAAUCUCAGGGUUACAGACUCUAAUAGGUGUGUCCACUGGAGAGACCAGCUCUCACUCUUGCCAUCCCAGUUUCAAGUACUAGGAAGGGCUUGGCUCGUAUUGAAUUAGAUUUCCACCCAGGGUUCAGCCCACUGUGAUACACAGUGGCUUCUGAGGAACCUCUGUUGUGACUGGGUUCCCAGCUAGUUCCCAGAGGGUGGGAACUAGUGCCCAUUUCAUUCCCCUUUGUAACCAGUGCUAAUCAUGAAUUUAUUUACCCUCCUCCAUAUUUUAGUUCCAGAUUAUUCAUAGUGUAGCGAAUGGGUUUUUAAAUGGAACAGUCACAGUCAGCAUGUAUCUUUGCAGGCAUGUGUAUACUCACUCACUCAAGGUUAUCUCACAAGACUCCUUCCCUGCCCCCCCCCCCGAAAAAACCCACACCUGACUAAGAACACAUUCAAUAAAUGUUGUAGUUAGGCUAGCUGUCCUUAGCGUCUCCUUGACUCCACCUAGCCUUUCCAUGCUAUUAUUGAAAGAGAGCAAGAGGGAAAACAGUACUGGAAACUCCCUUAGCAUCUCUGUGUCUGAGGUGGAGUGUACAGGCUGUGUGGACAGAGGGGCAAGCACAGAGUCCUAGGAGCAAGGACUGAGAGUGGGUCAGGAGGACCUUGCUGGAGGCAGAGAAGAGGAGUGGGAGAAGAAUUGCUAGUAAGGCAUCCCUAGACGGUCUGAAGACCUGAGAAUCGUCUCGGGACUUGUCUCCUGAUAGUGUUUUCAUCAGCCGUAUUUUUAUUUCCUCAUUAGUUCAGUCUGUUUUCUCUAAUUUUGUGUUUUUAAUCACAAACACUAUUUUAGCUAAAACUAUAUCGACUCUCAAGAACAUGUCAUUUGUACCAUAUAGCUAACCUAUGCAUAUUUGUUGCAUAAAGAAAACCUAUUAAUGAAAUAAAUUCAAAGCAAUAGUAUUUUUCCCUCUCAAAGACUUUCUUGUUUAUCUCUUUAAAACAGCUAGCUUGAUAUUUUUGUCUUUAAUUUUUUUCCUGUGUGCUUGUCAGAUGCUUAACUUGGGUGGGCGGCCUACUUGGGUGUUGAGUAAAGAAAGGCAUUUAAAAAAAAAUCUUAGUAUUUAAUUUUUUCAGUGGCUCCCUGAGGGGAGCCCCAGUGCUUUUCAUGCUGGCACUCAGUGUGCUUGAGUUUGGUUUUGUUUUUUACACUGACUCCUGAAAAUUAAUUGAUGCAAUUUUGGAAAAUAAGAGAGUAAUUAAGUACUGUUUACUUUAUGUGAGUGACUAUAAACUUUAAGAAAAAGUGUAUAAAUUUGAAUCAGCCUAUCCUAUUUUUGAUUCAAACAUGCUGUGGUAGAGAAUAAUGAGACUACCUUUUAAUAUUGGCUUUACAAAUAACGUGCUUGACAAACUCACUUUUUUAAAAGUAUUGUCUCUCUCCAGAGUAGGUUUUGAACAUUGUCUUAGAAAUAUCACCACUCAUUUACUUAAUUUUAAUUAUCUGCUGUAUGUACUUAAACAGUGUCUUGUUAUUGUUGAUUUUGAAAGGCUGGUUUAAAUAUUUUUGCUUCAUUGAUGAUUGUUAUUGCAUUAAUAUUUUUCUUCUUUUUACCUAUAACCUGUCUAAAGGUGGUUGCUGCUAUAAUAGUAACUUUAAAUUGGAUCCUAUUUGGUAAUUAUAAUGCUUACUGCAUUACUUAUUUGAAAAUCUGGUGUCUUGAAGCUGAUCAAAGGAUGUUAAAUGUAAGAUUUGUAGCAUAUAUACCCCCUUAUGUAUACCAUCACCAAACAUGCCCAUAGUUGGUUUCCUGAUAGAUGGAUGGGGGCUGUGGCUCGGAGGCAGAGGCUCAGGGAUCAUUUCCCAAGUGACUGGACGGAAGAGAGAGCCUACCAAGUCAAGGGCAGAGAUGAAGCACCUGGGCCCUCCAUCUAGAAAGCUGAAUGCAGCAUCUGCCAGCCAGAUGAUGGAAGGGUGUGGUCCAAAGCAGUUGGGAGCUAAGCCUGAAAAAAGGAGCAGAUAGUGGCUGUGGCCAGGCUUUCACUUGGUGUCUCAGCUGGGGGAAUCAGUAUACUUGGGCUCAGAAUUGGGACGACUAGGCUUAAAGCAGAGAAGGGAAAGAUAUGCCAGGAUGAGAAAGCUCGGUAUCAGGCAUUUUAUAAUCUUGUUUUGAACGCCAUCCUAAACUGAAUCCAGAAAGAACAUGUAGCAUUUUCCCUCGUGGGAUUUAUCAUCUGAGAGGUAGAAUUGCUGAAAUAGGAGUGUAUUUUACCCAAAAAGACACAUACAGAAGAGAUUUCUCCUCAGCCCUUUGUAUGUAACUGCUUAGAUGUGUUUGUGUGUUUCGUAGUGAUCCCUGACCACCUCUGUGUCUAUUUGUGGCACUUCUAAUCCUCGAAGGCCAUUUGACAGAAGCUUGUCAAGGUACCGAGACAGAGGAAUGUGAAUGGAUUCACCUAAACCCAUCCUGGCCACAAGAAAAUAUGAGACACAUCCUGCUGAUGGUAGCUCAUGAGGCAGUGUAACUUCACCUUCUGGCAAUGAGAUGCUUUUUGAUGACUUGCUUUGGUUCACUUUUAAGAUCUUGGAGGUGGUGUUCUGCUGUGUUGUUCUGCUGUUCUGUUCUGAGAUAUAAAACAGACAAAAGAUUUGUGUGCUUUCCAAAUGUUUCUUUGAUGUGACUAUUUUGGGGAUUCCUGAGGAAUGACAUUUAAUAUUUUUCCACUUCAUUAUUUGUAGGUCAUAGUUGUCAACCAGAUUCUCCAAGGUCGUCACAGUUCACAUGCCCAGAGAAAUACUCCUUCAGUGUGUGACAGUUAAUGUAGUCAGGCUUUUGAAUCUCUGUCUGUGCUCUUAUGAUUUAGGAUUACCACCUAUAUAGCAUGGCCUCUUUUUUCAGUCUUAUUCCUAUUGGUAUCACAGAGCUGAUCGGACAUUUUGGCCGUUUGAUUUCUCUGUGUUGGUGUGACGUGAACAUAGAGCUAACCUUCUCCAUGUGCUUUCCUUCCUUUGAAAUUGUUUGAACUGACAGAGUUCCUGAGUCAGCAUUGCAUUCCGGUUAUGCCAAGAUACAGACUCUAUUUUUAAUGCCGAAUCUACUAGAAACUUAAUCAAUUUAAAAUUCCUGACAGUACUUACUAUGGACCAUUUGAAAAGUGCUUAUGUUUGCUUUGACAUUUCUGAAGCUAAGUCAUGCAUUUGUAAUCCAGGAUGUGGCUACUAGAAUACAAAGUUGACUUAUUCUUGUGGUGAAUACAAUGUAAGACCGCCUUCUUUCCCUUGCUGCUAGUCGGAGUGAGAAGCAGUGUGUAGUACGAUGUUAUCAUUCUUAGUCAUAUGAACUCUUCAUGCUUUCUUGAUCCGUUUCUUUAGAGAAAAUACUUUUUUUUUUAACAAAAAAAAGUAGUUUUGUCGUGGUUGAGAAUAUACACAGCAAAACAUACACCAGUCCAACAGUUUCUACAUGUACAAUUCAGUGACAUUUGAUUACAUUCUUUGAGUUGUACAACCAGAGAAAAUAUUCUUAAAGCAAUGGACACCUGCUUUACAUGCAGUGGUAAGAAUCUUUAGACGGCACAUGAAUAUUGCAUUGAAUUAACCCUAUUAAUUAGGCUCCGGAGCUGUUCAAGGAAGAGGGCUCAGCUUUGUGGCAAGGUGCCAAACACAUGGCAGUUUGAAUAAAAUCCAUGCUUUUCUGUUACUUUUCCCCUUCCCCACUGUUUGAGCAUCAUCAAGUCAUUCUCCUGUAGGGUGGGAUGAGAGAGAGGACACCACCGGUAGUGGGGGAGGGGUUGUGUACAGUGGUUUUUCCCCGGAUGUGUAUUUUAUCCAUAUUCAAAAUAAGUAGAUACAUGGAUACACACCUACUAUGAAAAGCCAGAUGAAGGGGCUCUCCACUGCAGGUUUAAUAUGCCUGUUUUAAUUAAGGAAAUGACGACACAUGUACUGAUUAUGCUAACAUAUCUUAGAGCAUGCUCUACUUUCCGUAUUAGGUUUCUCUGAUAAUGCAUUUCUUUUUCUAUUACCAGACGUGAUUAAUGUGCCACAUAGUGUUAACUUGCUCUUUCCCCAAAGACAUCAAAUGGGAGGCAGCAUGUAGAAGCUAAAUUAUUCGGAGAGGAGUCAGUGAUUGAUUUAAAUAUAAAAGGAUUAAUUGGUCCCUGAACCAGACUAUUAAACUGUACUGUGAUCUUGACUGAAAGUGGAAGAAUUACAAGUGCAUUGCGUAGAAUAAAUUAAUACAUUUUUCAUGGCUUUAAUCCUUUUUUUUCUGUAUUGCUUAUUGUGGUUUUAUGUACUGCUCUCUAUUGUAUGCUUAGUUGAUGCAGAGGAGAUGUGGUGUAGAAUGAUUAAAUGGGAGCCAGGGUAGAACUGUCCAUUGAGUUUUAAGGUGGUACUGUUCUUCCAGGGUAGCUGAAAAUAUCUCUGCAGAGUGAGUACUUCUAGGAACUCUUGCCGAUAAUGACCCCAGGCAUGGAACUUAAGCGUUGACCCAAUAAGAAAUUUAAAAGUUUACAUUAUGUGAGGACAUCGUUCAAGGUGAACAUCAGCUAACUGGGUAAAUACAGCCCUUUAUCCUCAGAAGAAUUGACUUGAGACUUCCACUCUUGAGGGUAAACAUUAUAAUGGCACCAUCCCCAGGGAAGAUUUUCUUCUUUUUAUAACUAUCUCUAUUCAAACAAUAUUGAUUUUCUCAUUUCAACUCAGUCUGCCAGGAUGCUACUCUUUAGGGCUAUCAACCUCAUGUCUUCUUUCCAGGGAGAAUAAAUCUGUGUUUAUUUACCUCAAUUAUAUUGCUGCUUUUAUAACCAGGUGUUCAUGUAAGUUCUGCUUUGAAGUAGUAAUCCUGGUAAUAAAACGAGAGCAGCAGUUUGGUCCAGCGGACUGAUUAAAGAAUUCAUGUAUUUGUGGCUUUACUGACAAUGUAAAUUUCAAGUUUCAGAAUGGUGUACUUCUCUUUACCCCAUCUCACCACAUCUUUCCCUUAUAACUUGAUGCGCUUUGCCUUUCAGUAUUCUACCUGCUUCUGAGUUAUCAGUCCCACCACCCACCCACUGCUGUCGAGUUGAUUCUGUCUCAUAGCGGCCCUAUAGGACAGAGUGGAACUGCCCCAUAGAGUUCCAAGGAGCGCCUGGUGGAUCUGAACUGCCGACCUCUUGGUUAACAGCUGUGGUGCUUAACCACUAUGCCACCAGGGUUUCCAGUUAUCAGUCCAUAUGGAAUAUUUUAAAAGAGGAACAGCUUAGCUGACAACUGAGAUACGAAAUCAUUGGGAUCUCAGGAUCGAAAGUGCCAUUGAAGGUCACCUGCUCCAGGUACCCUUUCCAUACCAGGGUUUCCACUACCACAGCCUCAGGGAUAACAAAUAGAUUACUUUUCUUGACAGUCUUCCCCCCAACCCUUUCUUUAAACAACCCAGUUAGAAAGUUAGUCUCUAUGUUGACUUGAAAUUCAUUUCUCUGUAAUGUCUACAUCAGUUGUGGUUCGCCCGAGUAUGUGAGCCCUGGGGUGUACCAUGAACUAUUGACCACUAUAUUGCCACAUUUUAAUCAAUGUGUACAACUGAUAUUUGCCACAGUUGAGGAGGGCAUAUACUAUUCCAACCACGAUCGUAAAGUGCAACACUGAGCCAAAUAGCUUUCACGGCACGGUGUGCAUGAGUGUAACUCGUGCAGUAUGGAUUGCUAGCUGUGUAUUCUGAGUCAUCUCAUUUCUUGGUGAGAUGUCUCUAGUUCCCUCAAUUGUUUUCAUGUUGAGUGGUUUAAAGUUCCUUUAGUCAUUCUUUGAAUGUGUUCUGGUUUGUGUAAUAUCCUUUUUAAGUGUGAUAUCCAGACUUAAACUGAACAUUCUGAACAGGCCUGACGAGCACAGAGCAGAAGCAGAGCAUGUCGUUAACUCCCUUGUUCGUAACUGGUGGUUUUAAAACAUUUUCUGCCCUGGUCUGUCUGCUGUAUGGGGCAGGUGGUUGUUAGUAACAGUGGCUCACUAGGGCUGUGGUUUUUAGGACAGAUGAGCUCGUCUGAUUUGAAAAGCAGCCUCCCAGGGGAGUCCUUUUGCUGCCACUGGCUCUAGAUACCCGACAUCUGGUUCUAUCGCUGUAUCUUGUGAGAGUGCCUUAGCUCCUUUUGCCAAUCACAGUGCCCAUACUGUCAGCCAAAAACCUCUCUAGUUAUUCUUUGGGGGAGUCCUAAACUUACGCAAGCUAUAGUUGAACUUCAGGCAAACUUCAUCUGCAUUUAUCCCUGUUAAAAACAAUUUCCAUCAGCUAGACCUUAUUUCAUUUAAGAAAUAGAUUAAAAUUUAGUAAUAAUAAAAAGCAAUGUGAACUCAUAAUCUUUGUCUCCCUUUUUUUAGUACUUCCCUGUGGGAGUAGUCUUAAAAUCUGGCUGCUUAAAAUAACAGUAUUUAGCUUUCAUUAGGGGAAAAAAGUGGAAUUAUUUUGAAAUAAUAGAGUAAAUAUUUAUUCCGAUAUCUCAGUAACAAGUGUGUGUAUUUGAGCUUUUACAACAGGGUUCCUUGGAAAUUUCGUUUUAUAAAUGCCCUUCCAGAAACUUCUUUGCAGAGCUCUAUUUGACUCUUCUUUGACUUCUAGAAUGGCAGUUAUCAUUAAGCCAAAAUAUGUUAGGAGUCACAUGGCUAUUUGCAGAUGUCCCCAAAUUGAUUUUUUUCCUCUUUGUUUUGUUGUUAAAUAUUGAAUCGGGACAGAAAAAUCUCUUCCCUUAAAAAAAAAAAAAAAAAAAAAUUCAUUCGUUAAUGUUUUGUUCACUAAAUUCAGGAGCUAAAGGGUAACACAAAAAAUCAUUAGACAUUUUUAUUCACUGAAAUUGAGAGAUGGAUUUUGCUAAAGUGAUUGUCCUAAUUCCAUAAAUGACUUUUCAGUGGUUUCAGAAAGGUCAUUUUGGAGCAGUGAAUGAAUUUGAGAACUAACCUGAGUGUCUGUUGAUAGAAAUGGAAAAUGUUUAUUGAAUAAAUGGCUAUAAGAAGUGGCGAAUGGGUGCUUUGAAUAUUGGAGGACUUAAAAAUAACCUCAAAAGUAUUGGGAAAAUGGAAUCUUAUAUUAACGCUUGUGGAUAGGCUACUUUUAGUAUGUUAACCAUUGUUUUCUAUUAUAUUACAUGUUAUUUUUCCUUUGAAAAAUAUAUAUAUUAUUUAAAAUAUGUUUAUUUUGUGUAAAUUAUGUAGUAUUCUAAAAACAAAAACACAGAGGGUAAUGAUUAGUUUCCUAUUGUUGCUGUAACAGAUGGCCACAAAGUUGGUGGCUUACAACAACCAGCUUUGCUGUUAGGAAGGUCCCAAGUCUAAAGUAAAUCUCACUGAGGUAAAAUCAGGGUAUCAGCAGUGUUGUACUCCUUUUUGGAGGCUCUAGGGAAGAGUUGCUUUUCUUGCAUUUUACAGCUUCUAGAGGCUGCCCAAGAGAGCCCUGGGCAUUCCUUGGCUUGUGGCCUCUUCUAAACUGUCAAUGGCCAGUUGAGUCUUGUAUCACGUUACUGACUUUCCUGCCUCCCUCUCCCAUAUUUAAAGGUGCUUAUAAUUACAUUGAGCCCACUGGGUCAUCCAGGAUAAUCUCCCUAUUUUAAGGUCAGCUGAAUAAGUGACUGUAAUUCCAUUUGCACCCUUACUUCCCCUUUCCCAUGGAGUAUGACACAGUCACAGGUUCUGGGGAUUAGGACCUGGACAUUUUUGAGAGGCCGUUGUUCUGCCUGUCACCGAUAAGAAGAUAAAUACCCAUGCUUUUCCAACUCGGUUUAACCCAAAAUAAUUUUUUUUUAAAAUAAUUUUUAUUGUACUUUAAGUGAAAGUUUACAAAUCAAGUCAGUCUCUCACACAAAAACCCAUAUACACCUCCCUACACACUCCCAAUUACCCUCCCCUUAAUGAGACAGCACACUCUGUCCCUCCACUCUCUUCGUGUCUGUUUCGUCAGCUUCUGACCCCCUCCACCCUCUCAUCUCCCCUCCAGGCAGGAGAUGCUAACAUAGUCUCAAGUGUCCAUGUGAUCCAAGAAGCUCACUCCUCACGAGCAUCCCUCUCCAACCCAUUGUCCAGCCUAAUCCAUGUCUGAAGAGUUGGCUUCGGGAAUGGUUCCUGUCCUGGGCCAACAGAAGGUCUGGGGGCCAUGACCACAGGAGUCCUUCCAGUCUCAGUCAGACCGUUAAGUCUGGUCAUAUGAGAAUUUGGGGUCUGCAUCCCUCUGCUCUCCUGCUCCCUUAGGGGUUCUCUUUUGUGUUCUCUGUCAGGGCAGGCUUUGGUUGUAGCUGGGCACUAUCUAGCUCUUCUGGUCUCAGGAUGAUGUAGUCUCUGGUUCAUGUGGCCCUUUCUGUCUCUUGGGCUCGAAAUCGCCCUGUGUCCUUAGUGUUCUUCAUUCUCCUUUGAUCCAGGUGGGUUGAGACCAAUUGAUGCAUCUUAGAUGGCUGUUUGCUAGUGUUUAAGACCCCAGACGUCGCUCUUCAAUGUGGGAUGCAGAAUGUUUUCUUAAUAGAUUUUAUUAUGCCAGUUGACUUAGAUGUCCCCUGAAACCAUGGUCCCCAGACCCCUGCCCGUGCUAUGCUGGCCUUCGAAGCAUUCAGUUUAUUCAGGAAACUUCUUUGCUUUUGGUUUAGUCCAAUUGUGCUGACCUCCCCUGUAUUGUAGUAGUUCUUAUCUACUAAUUAGUGGAUGCCCCCUCCCACCCUC